rnacentral:rRNA from 1 species
UCAGGAUGAACGCUAGCGACAGGCUUAACACAUGCAAGUCGAGGGGCAGCACGGGAGUAGCAAUACUUUGGUGGCGACCGGCGCACGGGUGAGUAACGCGUAUGCAACCUACCUAUCAGAGGGGAAUAACCCGGCGAAAGUCGGACCUAAUACCGCAUAAAACAGGGGCACCGCAUGGUGAUAUUUGUUAAAGAAAUUCGCUGAUAGAUGGGCAUGCGUUCCAUUAGGUAGUUGGUGAGGUAACGGCUCACCAAGCCGACGAUGGAUAGGGGAACUGAGAGGUUGGUCCCCCACACUGGUACUGAGACACGGACCAGACUCCUACGGGAGGCAGCAGUGAGGAAUAUUGGUCAAUGGGCGGGAGCCUGAACCAGCCAAGUCGCGUGGAAAAGGAAGAAGGAUCUAUGGUUCGUAAACUUCUUUUGCAGGGGAAUAAAGUGCAGGACGUGUCCUGUUUUGUAUGUACCCUGAGAAUAAGGAUCGGCUAACUCCGUGCCAGCAGCGGC